ACGAUUAAUCGCAUAAAUCCCAUGAAAAAUAGAAAACUGAAAGUAGGGCAAACAUAGAUCCCUGGACAUAUCAGAGGUGAGAUCAGACAGAUCAUGAGAUGGAAACCAAUGUAAUUGAGACGAAAAGGGAGUACAACUCGAAAUAUCAAGGAAAAACAAGAAAGGCCCUUGUGAAUCAGCAGAUGAUGUCCUAUACAACCAUCCUUCCAUGACACAUGCAAUGGGAAGUUUAUUUCAGGAAACAAAGCCUGUCUGAAACUCCAAAAUGACAUUUCCAGAAAGUUGAAGAAUGGAUAAAAAUGUAUCUACCAUCUUACAACCCAGAUUUCAUUCCACUGAAAAGAAAAGGGACAGGAAAUUUUGCAUGUCCAUGUCUUGGAAGGUGAAUAGGUGGAAAGUCAAUAGAUGCUUACCAUAUCAGAUGCUUGCAGAGGAUACUGGGGAUAAAGUAGCAGAAAA